GAGUACGGCCGCAAGGCUGAAACUUAAAGGAAUUGGCGGGGGAGCACUACAACGGGUGGAGCCUGCGGUUUAAUUGGACUCAACGUCGGAAAACUCACCGGGGGCGACAGCAAUAUGUAGGUCAGGUUAAAGGUCUUACCUGAAUCGCUGAGAGGAGGUGCAUGGCCGUCGUCAGUUCGUACUGUGAAGCAUCCUGUUAAGUCAGGCAACGAGCAAGACCCGUGCCCACUGUUACCAGCAUAUCCUUUAUGGAUGAUGGGGACUCUGUGGGGACCGCUGCUGCUAAAGCAGAGGAAGGUGCGGGCUACGGUAGGUCAGUAUGCCCCGAAUCUCCCGGGCUACACGCGGGCUACAAUGGUUGGGACAAUGGGUAUCUACCCCGAAAGGAGUUGGCAAUCUCUUAAACCCAAUCGUAGUUCGAAUUGAGGGCUGUAACUCGCCCUCAUGAAGCUGGAAUCCGUAGCAAUCGCGUUUCAACAUAGCGCGGUGAAUCUGUCCCUGCUCCUUGCACACACCGCCCGUCAAACCAUCCGAGUGAGGUAUGGGUGAGGGCACGAACUUAGUGUCGUGCUCGAACCUAAAUUUCGCAAGGAGGGUUAAGUCGUAACAAGGUAGCCGUAGGGGAAUCUGCGGCUGGAUCACCUCCU
rnacentral:rRNA from 1 species